AGAGCAGCCAAUGAUGUCAAGGCUGGAGAGUCCAUCAGAUCAGUGGCAAAAGAGAGAAAUAUUGACAGGUCAACAUUGAGGAGAUACAUAAAGAAGAGGGAGGUAAAGGAAGUAAAAGCAGCAGGGUACAGUGGAACAGCAGAAGCAAGGAGAGUCUUUUCAGAGGAGACGGAGAAGGAGCUAGCAGACCAUAUCAAGCAGCUCGCAGACCAGUUCCAUGGCCUUACACCAAAGAAAUGCAGGGAACUGUCAUUAGAAUUGGCAAUCAGAAACAACAUUCCUACCCCCAGCAACUGGAGAGAGAAAGGUUUAGCCGGUAACGAUUGGUUCAGGAAUUUUAUGGCACGCCACCAUCUCUCCUUCCGUAUGCCCGAAGCAACAUCUUUGGGAAGGGCUACGGCCUUUAAUAGAACAACAGUUGGAGAGUUCUUCGACAAUCUGGCUAAGUUGAUGGACAGGCAUAAAUUCCCUCCAAACAUGAUAUAUAAUGUUGGCGAAACAGGAGUAACAACAGUACAGACACCAAAGCAGGUUGUGACAGAAAAAGGAAAGAAACAAGUGGGCGCAAUCACUUCUGCAGAAAGAGGCGAACUGGUGACUGUGGUCUGUGCAGUCAAUGCAACUGGUAAUGCAGUCCCACCCAUGUUUAUCUUCCCAAGGGUUAGAUACAAAGACCACUUCGUUACAGGUGCACC